rnacentral:rRNA from 1 species
GAUGAACGCUGGCGGCGUGCUUAACACAUGCAAGUCGAACGGGAAACCUUUUAUUGAAGCUUCGGCAGAUCUAGCUGGUUUCUAGUGGCGGACGGGUGAGUAACGCGUGGGUAACCUGCCUUAUACAGGGGGAUAACAACCAGAAAUGGUUGCUAAUACCGCAUAAGCGCACAGGACCGCAUGGUCCGGUGUGAAAAACUCCGGUGGUAUAAGAUGGACCCGCGUUGGAUUAGCUAGUUGGCAGGGUAACGGCCUACCAAGGCGACGAUCCAUAGCCGGCCUGAGAGGGUGAACGGCCACAUUGGGACUGAGACACGGCCCAGACUCCUACGGGAGGCAGCAGUGGGGAAUAUUGCACAAUGGGGGAAACCCUGAUGCAGCGACGCCGCGUGAAGGAAGAAGUAUCUCGGUAUGUAAACUUCUAUCAGCAGGGAAGAUA